GGUGGUAGGUCGGGUGUAUGUGCCAUCAACAAAACUGAUUUUGUUUUUGGCCGUUAAGGCAACAAGCAUUUUACGUCUCCAGCCCCCAUAACCACUACCCGAUAAGGGAGUGGGAACAAGUGAUACCCCAGGGACAUCAGACGAGUACACAAAAAGGGGAUUAGAAGAGUCUACAGCAGGAGAGGGACCAAUGUUUGUGCUAGAAGCCAUAGUUAAAGAACCGGCUUAAAUGAACAACUUUUCAACAAACAUAAUACUACCAAAACAGGUAUUCAGACACAACAACCAACAAACAGACUACAGUCAGGUCAAAUAUUCACAGACAACACCAGAUGCUCACAAGAACAGAGUCAAAUAAUCAC
rnacentral:lncRNA from 1 species